UACAGAGGGUGCGAGCGUUAAUCGGAAUUACUGGGCGUAAAGGGUGUGUAGGUGGUUGUGUAAGUUAGAUGUGAAAUCCCUAGGCUCAACCUGGGAACUGCGUUUAAAACUGCAUAGCUAGAGUACUGUAGAGGAUAGUGGAAUUUCCAGUGUAGCGGUGAAAUGCGUAGAUAUUGGAAGGAACACCAGUGGCGAAGGCGACUAUCUGGGCAGAUACUGACACUGAGACACGAAAGCAUGGGGAGCAAACAGG
rnacentral:rRNA from 1 species